rnacentral:tRNA from 1 species
GCCCGGGUGGCGGAAUAGGUAGACGCAAGGGACUUAAAAUCCCUCGGUCCUAAGGGCUGUGCCGGUUCGAUUCCGGCCCCGGGCACCA